UGAUUCUCCCGCUCCAGACAGACGCAGGUUAAGAUCCUCUCUGACUGAACCACUGUGGGACUGGGAGGGAAAGAAACAACUGACUGCAAUCUUCUUUACUCUAUUUUGGGAUUUAGCAACACUGCAAUAUUAAGGACCACGAGGGGUGUACCCACCCACUGAGACAAUUUGGCUGAUCUAUUGGGAGCUCACCAAGGCCAGCUGGACUGUGACUGAAAAGCAUGGGAUAAAACUGGAUUCUCUGAUCAUGGCGAACAAUGAGGGCUGCUGGGAAGCCAAGGACAACGGCACGGGGUUUUGAUCCUACUUCAUGUUCCGGCUUGGUGGGAGCCUAGCCAGUUUGGAUGUUCACCUUCCAAGACAUGGACGGAGGGUGGAGGACCUUGGACUUUCCACAGGGCAGGGAACCCUGACUGCUCUUUGGAUUG